rnacentral:rRNA from 1 species
CGGGGGGGCAAGCGUUGUUCGGAAUUACUGGGCGUAAAGGGCUCGGUAGGCGGCCAACUAAAGUCGGAUGUGAAAUCCCCAGGCUUAACCUGGGAACUGCACCCGAUACUGGAUGGCUUGAAUCCGGGAGAGGGAUGCGGAAUUCCAGGUGUAGCGGUGAAAUGCGUAGAUAUCUGGAGGAACGCCGGUGGCGAAGGCGGCAUCCUGGACCGGCAUUGACGCUGAGGAGCGAAAGCCAGGGGAGCAAACGGGAUUAGAUACCCCGGUAGUCCUGGCCCUAAACGAUGAAUGCUUGGUGUGACGGGUAUCGAUCCCUGUCGUGCCGAAGCUAACGCAUUAAGCAUUCCGCCUGGGGAGUACGGUCGCAAGGCUG